rnacentral:rRNA from 1 species
GUAGGUGGCAAGCGUUGUCCGGGGAAUUAUUGGGGCGUAAAGCGCGCGCAGGCGGUUCUUUAAGUCUGAUGUGAAAGCCCACGGGCUCAACCGUGGAGGGUCAUUGGAAACUGGAGAACUUGAGUACAGAAGAGGAAAGCGGAAUUCCACGUGUAGCGGUGAAAUGCGUAGAGAUGUGGAGGAACACCAGUGGCGAAGGCGGCUUUCUGGUCUGUAACUGACGCUGAGGCGCGAAAGCGUGGGGAGCAAACAGGAUUAGAUACCCUGGUAGUCCACGCCGUAAACGAUGAGUGCUAAGUGUUAGGGGGUUUCCGCCCCUUAGUGCUGCAGCUAACGCAUUAAGCACUCCGCCUGGGGAGUACGGCCGCAAAGGCUGA